GUCAUAAUCCUCUGUGGCAACAGAAUUUUCUUCAGAGCAACUAAUAGGGAUGUCACAGGGAAUUAGGAUUUUGGAUUAGGGAGCAAAGUGACAGAAGCACAGGAAGGAUUAUAAAACAUGAAGAUUGUGUUACCACGCACAUGCCCUUUAGUGCUAACUAACAAGGAAAGAAGAUGACAAACAACUUAUAUAUAAAGCAGUAGAAUUGUUUCUAAAUUACCAGUGCCAUCAGGACUCAGCUGAGCCUGGUGCAUUGCCUUCUUCGUGCCACACUGGAAAGAGGAAUAGGCUACGCCUACCAACAAAGGCAUCUCCUUUGGAACGUGAAAUGGCAAACCAGGAUUCUUCAAUAUCCUUUUUAUGUCUGCAUCUCUAAUAUUUACAGCUCAGUAUCCAAGGACUUGCAGGAUCUGAGAUUUGCUGGGUCUCCCUCCCUGGGAAAGAGACCAGUACUACAUUUUUUUUCACCUACCUAUCCAGAUGUAUUGUUUGUCUAUUAGUUUUUUUACUAAGAAUUUGAAGAAAAUCGCUUUUGAAGAGUAUAAUAGCCUGAUCUCGUAUCUGUAUUCUGCUUAGACAAAUUGCUUUGUCUACCCUCUUCCCUACAGUAUCAGUUGUAUGGUACAUUUCUCUUUGCCCUGAAAUUAAAAAAAAAUAAUAAUUCUACUGUUACAUGUUGCUAAAACUUCCAUGUUUCACUGGCAAGAAAAGUCAUUCCUUCUGUAUCGUUUGAAAGCUCUUUGAAGGAAAAGGAA